GAUGAACGCUGGCGGCGUGCCUAACACAUGCAAGUCGAGCGGAGCGGGGACGGGUGAGUAACAUGUGGAGAACCUCCUAUAAGGCUGGGUUAACUUCGGGAAACCGGAGCUAAACCGGUAACUAACAGAUUGAUCCUCGCUGCAUUAGCUAGUUGGUAAGGUAACGGCUUACCAAGGCAACGAUGCAUAGCCGACCUGAGAGGGUGAUCGGCCACACUGGGACUGAGACACGGUCCAGACUCCUACGGGAGGCAGCAGUAGGGAAUCUUGCGCAAUGGGCGAAAGCCUGACGGAGCAACGCCGCGUGAAUGAAGAAGGUCUUCGGAUCGUAAAACUCUGUUAGUCGGGAAGCGGUACCUACUCAGAAAGCCACGGCUAACUACGUGCCAGCAGCCGCGGUAAUAC
rnacentral:rRNA from 1 species